rnacentral:rRNA from 1 species
UACGUAGGGUGCAAGCGUUUAAUCGGAAUUACUGGGCGUAAAGCGUGCGCAGGCGGUUAUGUAAGACAGAUGUGAAAAUCCCCGGGCUCAACCUGGGAACUGCAUUUGUGACUGCAUAGCUAGAGUACGGUAGAGGGGGAUGGAAUUCCGCGUGUAGCAGUGAAAUGCGUAGAUAUCAGGAGGAACACCUGUGGCGAAAGCGGCUCACUGGACCAGCACUGACGCUGAGGCACGAAAGCGUGGGGAGCGAACAGG